rnacentral:rRNA from 1 species
GACGAACGCUGGCGGCGUGCUUAACACAUGCAAGUCGAACGGAAAGGCCCUGCUUUUGUGGGGUGCUCGAGUGGCGAACAGGUGAGUAACACGUGAGUAACCUGCCCUUGGCUUUGGGAUAACUUCAGGAAACUGGGGCUAAUACCGGAUAGGAGCUCCUGCUGCAUGGUGGGGGUUGGAAAGUUUCGGCGGUUGGGGAUGGACUCGGGGCUUAUCAGCUUGUUGGUGGGGUAGUGGCUUACCAAGGCUUUGACGGGUAGCCCGCCUGAGAGGGUGACCGGCCACAUUGGGACUGAGAUACGGCCCAGACUCCUACGGGAGGCAGCAGUGGGGAAUAUUGCACAAUGGGCGGAAGCCUGAUGCAGCAACGCCGCGUGCGGGAUGACGGCCUUCGGGUUGUAAACCGCUUUCGCCUGUGACGAAGCGUGAGUGACGGUAAUGGGUAAAGAAGCACCGGCUAACUACGUG